GGCGCCAUAGCUCAGUAGGUAGAGCAGUGGACUGAAAAUCCAUGUGUCCCUAGUUCAAGUCUAGGUGGCGCCA
rnacentral:tRNA from 1 species